GGGCGAAUGGAAGAGGGUCAAAAUACACGUUAUUGCUCUAUGUCCGCCAUUACGGAACAUCACACAGGAUCCCAUAAAAUUUUGACGUCAUAAUAUAAAAUACCUGACGCCACAAUGGAAAAGUGAUUGUUGUAUGACGUCAAUAGUUCGAGCGGUAAAUUCAUACCAUUGUAAUCUCUUACCAACUUAUUUAAAUGCAUUCAAG
rnacentral:lncRNA from 1 species